GAUGAACGCUGGCGGCGUGCCUAAUACAUGCAAGUCGAGCGAACAGACGAGGAGCUUGCUCCUCUGGCGUUAGCGGCGGACGGGUGAGUAACACGUGGAUAACCUACCUAUAAGACUGGGAUAACUUCGGGAAACCGGGGCUAAUACCGGAUAAUAUAUUGAACCGCAUGGUUCAAUAGUGAAAGACGGUUUUGCUGUCACUUAUAGAUGGAUCCGCGCCGCAUUAGCUAGUUGGUAAGGUAACGGCUUACCAAGGCAACGAUGCGUAGCCGACCUGAGAGGGUGAUCGGCCACACUGGAACUGAGACACGGUCCAGACUCCUACGGGAGGCAGCAGUAGGGAAUCUUCCGCAAUGGGCGAAAGCCUGACGGAGCAACGCCGCGUGAGUGAUGAAGGUCUUCGGAUCGUAAAACUCUGUUAUUAGGGAAGAACAAAUGUGUAAGUAACUAUGCACGUCUUGACGGUACCUAAUCAGAAAGCCACGGCUAACUACGUG
rnacentral:rRNA from 1 species